rnacentral:lncRNA from 1 species
CACUCUUUUCCACCCACUGGAAUACCACCAACUGCCAACCAUCACCUCGCCAAAUCCACCACCAUUGCCAGCUUCACCAGCACCAAAACCACUCAAAUCCCCAACACCACUAAAACACAAAUGACCACCACUACUUUAACAACCAAAAAAACACAUCCUCCACCAAUACCCACACUACCGCACCGCCAUCGCCCCAUCACCACCACCACCACCACCACCAUUGCAAAAUCAUAUCCAUCCACACUUAACAAAUCAUAAACACACGUCUGCUUAUGCAAACCUCACUUGGCCACCACCGCUGAAAAAUAAAUCAAAAAUCGCAACACCGUCGAGGGUAGAACCACCAACGAUAGCACCACCACCCACCACUAAUAAAUCACCUCAAUAAACUAUCACAAAAACGACCUCAAAACCACUUGUGAUCACCGUCCACAACUACCUGAACCAUCGCCGCCGCCAUAACCCCAAUCAACACAGCCCAAACACAUAAUACAAACACGCGGCCACCACCACCAAAAUACACCAUCGGUGGAAUGAAGUCGUCGGAGAAGCUGAUUCCUGCCCCUUUCUUUAAUCCCUCCUUAAUUUGUUCAAUUUCUGUACCCAUCUUUCUUUCUCGUUGCCACAACUGGGUUGAUAAUGGAGGGGGGAGAGAGAGAGAGAGAGAGGAAUUUGAUUACGAUAUGAGGAAAGGUGGGGUGGGGGAAGGGUAGAGAAAGAGUGAAGAACAGGUGGCGGCUUGGCUUUUAAGAGAGAGACGGUGAAGAAAUGUUGAUAGAUAUAUUAUCAUUAGAAAUUAAUUAUAUGUCCACUUUCCCUCAUAGUCUCUCUCCAAUCUCUCGGCCUUUCUUUGUCCUAAUUAAUUGAAAUAAAUAUCUGUAAACUGCCCUAAUUCUCCACAUCCUCUCUGAGCCCUAGUUCAGUGGGAUUGUAGAGUCAUUAUGCAAAGGUGCAGAGCCACUCCGACGAGGUGCUAUGAGAUCGUUGAAGAGGAUUAAGGUGGCAUGACAGAUCUGUGGAGUGACUUCCAGCUAGGUGAAGAAUAUUGGCAGUGGUGGCGACGAUGACGGUGGCUGUGGCUUUGGAUCUCUGGUUUUGGAUCUGCCAUAUUUUUGAAAUGAUGUUUAAGAUGGUUUUUGGGUGUGAAGAUUUGAUCGAUUUUUGUUUGUUGGUGGUGGUGGUUUCCAUGGUGUGGUGAUGUUGGGGGUGGUUUUAUUGGUGGUGGUAGUGGAAGAUUGGGUGUGCUGAUGAUGGAUCUAGAGUUGGUGGGAGUGGAUUUGGCGAUGCAUCUGGCGAUGGUGGUGGUGAUGGUUGUAGCGACGACGGUGGUGGUCUACCUGUGGUUGUGGUUGGGGUUGGGGUGAGGUAGGGUAUG